GGUGCGGUAAGAGCGCACCAGCAGCAUCGAGAGGUGCUGGCUCGGUAAACCCCGGCUGGGAGCAAGGCCCAGGGACAACGGUUGGCCAUGACACCCGUCCCGACACAAGCGCGCCGCUCGAGGCCGUCGGUAACGGCGGUCCCAGAUAGAUGAUCGCCCCGGCAGGCUUCGGCCUGCCGAACAGAACCCGGCUUACGUCCUGCUUUCACCC
rnacentral:RNase_P_RNA from 1 species